rnacentral:rRNA from 1 species
GACGAACCGUGCGAACGUUGUUCGGAAUCACUGGGCUUAAAGGGCGCGUAGGCGGGUUCGCAAGUCUGUGGUGAAAGCCUCCAGCUUAACUGGAGAAGUGCCGUGGAUACUGCGAAUCUUGAGGAGGGUAGGGGCGUCUGGAACGGUCGGUGGAGCGGUGAAAUGCGUUGAUAUCGACCGGAACUCCGGUGGCGAAGGCGAGGCGCUGGACCCUUUCUGACGCUGAGGCGCGAAAGCCAGGGGAGCGAACAGG